AAAUUGAAGAGUUUGAUCAUGGCUCAGAUUGAACGCUGGCGGCAGGCCUAACACAUGCAAGUCGAACGGUAACAGGAAACAGCUUGCUGUUUUGCUGACGAGUGGCGGACGGGUGAGUAAUGUCUGGGAAACUGCCUGAUGGAGGGGGAUAACUACUGGAAACGGUAGCUAAUACCGCAUAACGUCGCAAGACCAAAGAGGGGGACCUUCGGGCCUCUUGCCAUCGGAUGUGCCCAGAUGGGAUUAGCUUGUUGGUGGGGUAACGGCUCACC
rnacentral:rRNA from 1 species